rnacentral:lncRNA from 1 species
CUGCCGACUCGCCACGCUGUUGGAGCGCACGCCCGCUCUACCAGGGGCGCGGGCCUUGCCGUCAGCGUCCUCUGCAGGCGCAGCCACCCCAAGCUUCCGCCGACCCUGACCCCAGCCCCAGCCCUCAACCCACGACCCGAGGCCACAGAGGCCCACAGGUGCAGAGCAGGCUGCUGCCCAGCAGGAAGGAAAAGGCCACCAUCAGGGCAAGGCAAGUGUUGUGGGCACAGCGGCCCUGUGUUGCUUGCCUGUCUGCACACGGAGUCACCUGCCCGCUCCUCGGAUUUCUGCAGCUCCCCUGCGGCUCUGUCUGUGGCCCAGGCCCUGCUGGCGUGGAGUUUGUCCGACCCUCUGCGAGUGAGGCCCGGCACAGAUGGACGUUGCUCUCUGCUGUCCCUAGAACCCGGUGUCCCUCGCCUUUAGUCCACAGCAGGUGCUGUCUGCCGGCCCUGGCUCCCGCUUUGGCACCGAGUCCCCCUGGAGGCGAGGCGGGUUCUGCUUGUGUCGCAG